GUAUUAAUAUUAAGGCCUCACGGCACAAUUAUUCACGUUCAAUAUUUAGAUAAAGUCUGUAAUCAGAGGAAGGCACCCCCCAAGCACAACUCGGAGACCCCUCUCUAAAUGUGCACAGGUGUUUAGAUGAAGAUUGUUAGGAGCGAGCACAUCCAGCCAAGCUGCCAGCAUCAACCCCCAUUACAACUCAUUAAUGAUCCUUCCGCAGGUUCACCUACGGAAA
rnacentral:misc_RNA from 1 species